rnacentral:antisense_RNA from 1 species
CUUGAUCGAGCCGAGCCACAACGGCCGGUCCUCGGGACGGUCCUGGCCGUACGUCGCCAGCAGAGCCUGCGCCUC